UACAGAGGCCUCGAGCGUUAGGCGGAAUCACUGGGCUUAAAGCGUGUGUAGGCGGACUUCUAAGUACCUUGUGAAGUCCCACAGCUUAACUGUGGAACUGCUUGGUAUACUGGUUGUCUUGAGGUACCUAGGGGCGAGCGGAACAAGUGGUGGAGCGGUGAAAUGCGUAGAUAUCACUUGGAACGCCAACGGUGAAAACAGCUCGCUGGGGGUAUCCUGACGCUGAGACACGAAAGCCAGGGGAGCAAACGGG
rnacentral:rRNA from 1 species